UCUUUCUGAGCAGAUUUGCUUGAUGCUGUUGCUGUAGCUUUUUUCAUGCUGCUCCUCAAGAUUUCAGGGCCGCGUGCAGGAAGGGGGUUAUACCCUGGUGAGGGCACAGGCAUUGCUGCCAAGAGUCCAUUAUUGUGAGUGGAAGCACACAAGAAAACAGUCUGACAACAUGUGGAAAGAGAGGAUAACCAUGAAAAUAUUGAAUACAGCUGGACCUAGAAAAACUCCUUUGUAACUCCAGAGGAAAAGGACAUCUAGAAUUAAAUCUGAAGGAAAGCUUGUG
rnacentral:lncRNA from 1 species